CUGCAUAUGGUCACAUUUCCAAGCUCUUGACUGAGUGAACGAGCCUGUUCAUAGCUAUCUCCAUGUGGGUCAGCAGCUUUCCCCAUCUGCAUAAGCCAGCAACAAUAUAUAAGAAUGCUAAGCUGGAGGUAUCUCACCACACUUCAUAAACAUGUAUUGGGGGAUGGAAAAGAAAUGCAGGGGACUCUUGCCCAUGGUACCUAAGGGACAAUGCUUACACACUAACACACUCGUGAUUGUAAGUUGUGUUGAGGUAACUGUAUCUACAAACUGACAACUAUAAUCAGUCACAUGUUACCACAAAAAGAAUAUUUUUAUUCAGGUGUUUCAUUAGGCCCUGGCAGCCGGCUCCCACCUGCCCUUUUCCAUUGAGCGCCAUUUUUAAAAAAAAUCAACUUAAGUUUUACUUGAAUAAAAAAGAUUUAACUUCAACCCCCUACUUAUCAAUCUCCACCGCCUACUCUAAAAGUUAGUGAAAACCCUGUCAUUAAUCAAAUCUUGAAGUCUUUUCAAUAAAUACAGAGGAGUGUUUUAAGAAAAGUUUUUUUUAAUAGACUUAGUAGCUAAGGAGUUUAAAUCAUUGUAUUUUAGAGAUUUUAGUAAAAUUGUACUUUCAAGCCUUCUAUACCUCUUUAAAUUUUAUUGUAACACUUGACAUGAUUAUUUAUCUACUGUAGUGAAUAAAGAUAUUAUUAUUAUUAUUACCAAGGUCUUGAUUUUGCAAUACUUUUCCCCAGAUUCAACACAUUAAAUAACUUACUCACCACACUGGUAUAGAGUCUGUCAAACUCCACCACAUUGGGAGUCAGGAUAACCUUUGACUUUUUAGAAUCAUAGUUUUUGAUGAUUUCAGGAUAUGUCGUGACUACAGCUAUUCCAUCCUAAAAAAUUCAACAUAUUCCUGGUUACCAACAAUCUAGGAGGAUCAAUAUAUAAAAAAUUCAACAUAUUCCUGGUAACCAACAAUCUAGGAGGAUCAAUAUAUAAAAAAUUCAACAUAUUCCUUUUUACCAACAAUCUAGGAGGAUCAAUAUAUAAAAAAAUUCAACAUAUUCCUGGUUACCAACAAUCUAGGAGGAUCAAUAUAUAAAAAAUUCAACAUAUUCCUGGUUACCAACAAUCUAGGAGGAUCAAUAUAUAAAAAGUUCAACAUAUUCCUGGUUUCAAACAAUCUAGGAGGAUCAAUAUAUAAAAAAUUCAACAUAUUCCUGGUUACCAACAAUCUAGGAGGAUCAAUAUAUAAAAAAUUCAACAUAUUCCUGGUUACCAACAAUCUAGGAGGAUCAAUAUAUAAAAAAUUCAACAUAUUCCUGGUUACCAACAAUCUAGGAGGAUCAAUAUAUAAAAAAUUCAACAUAUUCCUUUUUACCAACAAUCUAGGAGGAUCAAUAUA